UACGUAGGGUGCGAGCGUUUGUCCGGAAUUACUGGGCGUAAAGAGCUCGUAGGUGGUUUGUCGCGUUGUCCGUGAAAAACUCACAGCUCAACUGUGGGCGUGCGGGCGAUACGGGCAGACUGGAGUACUGCAGGGGAGACUGGAAUUCCUGGUGUAGCGGUGGAAUGCGCAGAUAUCAGGAGGAACACCGGUGGCGAAGGCGGGUCUCUGGGCAGUAACUGACGCUGGAGGAGCGAAAAGCCGUGGGGGAGCGAAACAGG
rnacentral:rRNA from 1 species